AAAGUUGAUCAAACUAUAUAGAGUGAUUCUGCAAAGCUAGGAAUGUUCACACUCAUCAAACUCACCCUAAGCCCUAGAACACUCUGAGAAAAAAUACUUUCAGUGAGCAAAGUAGCCAUCCCUGGAAUGUGAAACCAUAAAUGGCCUGGAUAUCAGAAAAUUAAGAUACAGUCAUGCUAGGAAAGAUUAGAUUUUGUGUCCAGAUUAUAUCUGAUAUAAUGCUUUAUCUGCUUGAAUCACGGCACUUAGCAUGUUUCUCUUUCCCCUGUAUCUGCAUAUCCACCUGCAAUAACAACUGUACUUUGAAGUAUGAAUAGAACACACUUAUUGUUUUCCUUCCCACCUAAUCUAUUCUUUUUCCCUUGAUGAUUGGUGACAAGUGAGUUGCACGGAAACUUUCUAGUGCAAUGUAAUUUAACUCAUGACAGUUGACUUUUGGCAAUGUUUUAAUAACCAACCUGGGGUGAAACCCGGCAAAGUUUCCGGGUCUUGGGUUGACCGGUUUAACCGGUUUGACCAGCCGGUCAAACCCAGUGACAAAACUUUUAAAAUUCUGCAAAUAUACCCCUGAAAAUUACAGUUAAGUCCCUACGGUUUAAAAUUUAUCAAACACAUCCCAAAUACAAAUCGGCUUUGACUGGUUGGCCGCGGCGACACCCCACAUGCAAUAUCAAUCAUCCCUUGAGCCCAUUCCCCAUAAAAUCUAUCCAAGAUCUGGUCGAAAUCAGUUCGAUUUCGGUCAGAUCUCAUCGACGCUGGCGUCGACAUUCUAGGCUAGAUCUCACCGAUACUGGCGUCGACAACCGUCCCCAUCACCCCGAAAAAACUCCCCUCUUCCUUCUGACCAAAACCCACCUCACCCCACCCCCAUUAGCCUCACCAAUCACCGGCAAAAGCCGGUUGUUGCCACCGCUUUUUUUUCGAUUUCCGAUCGAUUCACUCACCAGAAAUCAACUAUGUCGCCACCAUUGCACUCACUAGCACUUUCUCUUCAAAAGCCUCAACAUCUCGGCCUUCAAUUGUUCGCUGAUCAUCAUGGUUUUGGGUGAAUAGAGAAAUUGUUAACCUGGCCCGGUGAAGCUUUCGGGUCCUAGAUAAACCGUUAAAACACUGCGUUUGGUCACAAACUGCUUGGCUCUUGAUCAAAGUUGGUUGCUGUCUUUAGAAGUUUUUCUCGGGCGCUCAAACUUGAAAGGGAGAACAUGGUUAACUGAAAAAAUAUGAAGAUGCAGAAGUUUUUCUCUUCUGGACAUGGAUAAUUGGUUGAUAUAGUGGUUCUUAGCUGGAGAGAUGCAGAAACCACUUAGGAUGUUGCUGUCAAAUCUACCAUGCCGUAGCUGGUCCUCUAAAAUGUCAGUCUUCUCAAUAAGCCAUGAAGAAGAGCCCUCAAGCUCAUCAAUGUCACCUGGAGGCUGGAACGCUCUGCUAUAGGAGCCAUGAGGUGAAGCUUUAGGUGUCGAGUUUUCAGUGGAUCUAGCUGUGACUUAGUCUGCAUUGUUUGUCUCCCACAGUUUGAGCAUUUGCAAUUCAGAACCACAUGUUAAUAUCUCUUUUGUGUUUGCUUCAUAAUAAUUUGAAGAUUAUACAACUAUACUCCAUUACCUACGUAUUCGAGUUCUUUGUUGUUAGGCCAUUUUUUCUGUACUCUCAUCAUGGAAUAAAAAUGAAUGGCGCAUUUAGCAUUUCUCCUCUGUUCAUUGCAGAUGCUUCUGGCAGGACUGGUGCAAAACGGUUUCGGAUUCCUGGAUAUUGCGUGUCAGUAAAGGUAUGCUUGUUGAUUGUUGAAUACAAAAUGAAUUCUCACGCCCAGAAUGUUAUUGAUUUGAGCCUACGGUCAUACUAUAAAUACAAUCAAAACUUAUAUGACAAAAAUUAACAUAUAAUGUUUAGCUAAUAUGAUCUCCUAUUGUUGUACAAAAGGUUUGUGAUGCUCACACUGAGAAUUGGGCUUGGGGUUUUUUCUGUUUGAAUGUAGAUGUUAAAAAUUUUCAGUGAAUUUUGAGGGACAGCUUCAU